rnacentral:rRNA from 1 species
UACGUAGGGCGCAAGCGUUGUCCGGAUUUAUUGGGCGUAAAGAGCUCGUAGGUGGUUUGUCGCGUCUGUCGUGAAAGCUUGGGGCUUAACUCCAGGUCUGCGGUGGAUACGGGCAGGCUAGAGGCAGGUAGGGGAGAACGGAAUUCCCGGUGUAGCGGUGAAAUGCGCAGAUAUCGGGAGGAACACCGGUGGCGAAGGCGGUUUCUGGGCCUGUUCUGACGCUGAGGAGCGAAAGCGUGGGGAGCGAACAGG